AUGAUGGAAUUCAUGUCAUGAAAAUGGCCAGAAGGGAACCAACUGGAAGCUGAAGCUUUGGUUGUUCGUGUUAGAGAAGGCAGCUGCUCUGGGCUGAGAUGACCAGCCAACAGUCUGCAGACCCUUUGGACAGGAAAUUGUUCAAAUAGACAAGAGGCUCAUAGCCCAAGGCUCUCAAUUUCCCUCUGACUCAUGUGUGUCCAUGAGGCACACAGCACUCCUUACGGUGUGAGUUUUAAAGGAGAAAGGAGGAGGAGAAAUCUCACGGCAAAGACCCUGAAGUGAGAUGGGAGAAAUAGCUCCGCUUCUAAGAACAGCAAAGGCGAAAACGUCAGGCAGGGGAUGAGAAACAAGAGGGUGGCUCAGAAAACGGGGCGUGCCCUGGUUCUUCAUCUUGGCGCACAUGCGGUUUUCCUGUUCCUGGCACAUCCAUAAAGAAGACAGAAAACGGUACACAAACUUGGCCUUGUCUGGCAGUUGUGGUUUACCAGCCAUGUUAAAUUCAGACCCCUCCGAGCAGCUUUUCUCCCUCAGAGAGCUUUCUAUCCUCAGAGGAAAACAGAAUUAUGUGCAAAAUCAUUAAAUGGCCCUUCUCAUGGAAUUUGGAGUUCCAUUUUACCUCAUCCUGCAGCAAAAAUGUCUUCUAAGUACUUUUCCUCUUGGAAUAGUGCUUUUUUCUGCAUUGGGGACAGCAGCCAGAAGACCAAAAGAGCCUUCUUUACGUGGAAUCCGCCUUGCCUUUACCUUGACAAAGGAAUGCAUUAAAGAUGCUUUUGGCUACUGCAUCACCUGGAGUGAAGGGAGAAGAAAAUCAGCUACCUGGUGUAUCUCUGCUAUUCCCCAGAAACUGUUCCAGUCUCGCCCUCCGUCUCCUCCUUCAAUCCCACUUCUGAGCAAAAAACUUCUCACGCACCAGGGCCCUUAACACCACGAGUAGGAUCCAUGACUUCCCAUUGCUUCUCCUAGGAUACCAAAGGGCGCCCCUGCCCUGAACCAAAAAAAGUCUUCAGUCACUUGUAGGUUACUUUCAAACUGGGACAAGUCGUUGUAUGUGGCUCAUGCAGACCGUGAAGAACCGAAGGAAGAGUGAAAUGUUGAAGAGCUGGAGGAAGAAUCACUGUACCCUGACUUGUGUGACACUGUGGAUGAGCUGGGGGAUGGUCCCCAAAGCUUAAUCAAGAAGGCCAUUGAGGGUGGCGACAGUCGGGCCCCAGCUGCCUGCCUGAUUGCCACCUCAGGAUGGAAGGGUGGGCGAGGUAGGGUGAGGAGCAGAUGGGGGCAGUGAACGAGAACAAGUCACAUAUGUCAGGUAUUGUGCAAAUAUUACAGCACCUUUAACUCAGGAGCUGACCUCAGUCCACAGAAGAUGCUAUGCUGUCAUACACAACAAACCAAUCAGUAACACAGAUGAAAGAGGUAAAGGCUUAAUAUAAAAAUAAAAUAGAGCAGGGGUCAGCAAACGUUUUCUGUGAAGGGCUGGUAAAUAUUUUAGGCGUUGAGGGCUAUGUCUCUGUCACAACCACUCAACUCUGCCCAGGUAGCACCAAAGCGGUCAUGGACAAUACGUAAAUGAAUGGGCUGUGUUCUAGUAAAGUCUAUUUAAAAAAAUAGGCAGCAGACAGACUAUGACUACAAGGCACAGCUUCUCUACCCCUGAAACAGGAAAUAUGCACAUAAACAUUUUAAGUACUCUCCCCGAUUACGCCUCGAGUACCCUCGGAUUACAGGGUGGCUCACACAAAUUGUGUUCAUCCUGAGAAUAUAAGCACUUUUUUUUUUAAUUAAAGAAAUUUUUUUAAAAUAUAAUUUAUUGUCAGAUUGGUUUCCAUACAACACCCAGUGCUGUAUGGAAACAGUGCCCUCCUCAAGGCCCAUCACCCACU